rnacentral:rRNA from 1 species
UGGGGAAUUUUGGACAAUGGGGGAAACCCUGAUCCAGCCAUCCCGCGUGUGCGAUGAAGGCCUUCGGGUUGUAAAGCACUUUUGGCAGGAAAGAAACGUCAUGGGUUAAUACCCCGUGAAACUGACGGUACCUGCAGAAUAAGCACCGGCUAACUACGUGCCAGCAGCCGCGGUAAUACGUAGGGUGCAAGCAUUAAUCGGAAUUACUGGGCGUAAAGCGUGCGCAGGCGGUUCGGAAAGAAAGAUGUGAAAUCCCAGAGCUCAACUUUGGAACUGCAUUUUUAACUACCGGGCUAGAGUGUGUCAGAGGGAGGUGGAAUUCCGCGUGUAGCAGUGAAAUGCGUAGAUAUGCGGAGGAACACCGAUGGCGAAGGCAGCCUCCUGGGAUAACACUGACGCUCAUGCACGAAAGCGUGGGGAGCAAACAGG